rnacentral:rRNA from 1 species
CAGCAGCCACGGUAAUACGAAGGGGGCUAGCGUUGUUCGGAUUUACUGGGCGUAAAGCGCACGUAGGCGGAUCGUUAAGUCGGGGGUGAAAUCCUGGAGCUCAACUCCAGAACUGCCUUCGAUACUGGCGAUCUUGAGUCCGGAAGAGGUGAGUGGAACUCCUAGUGUAGAGGUGGAAUUCGUAGAUAUUAGGAAGAACACCAGUGGCGAAGGCGGCUAACUGGUCCGGUACUGACGCUGAGGUGCGAAAGCGUGGGGAGCAAACAGGAUUAGAUACCCCUGUAGUCCCUGUCUCUUAUAU